ACUUAAGGGGGUGGUGCGACUGAAGCUUUCAGCGAGGCGAGCCGCUGCGGACAACUCACCCUCUCUGCCCACGGGCGGCGACAAGGAAGGCCGGCGGGGAGCCCGACGCUGGGCCUUUAGGGAAGAGGGACUCCGAGCCUCCAUCGCCAAAAAGUGGAGGCACCGGCUCUGCGCUGAUCCCCCAUGGCUCAUUGGUUACUGCACGCUUUCCGCCCUCCCUGGACUGCUCCCGCCCCUGGUGGAGGGCUAAGGGCAGAAGAGACGGGCUUAUUUCACUUAGCGUAAUAUUUUCCAGGACCAUCCAUGUUGUCACAAAAGAUAACAUCCAGGCCCGGAAAAGCAGCAAAACCGGGUGGGUAACCAGAACCAAUUGCAAUGACUAAAGACUUCCUGCCCUGUCACCAAUCAGUGAAGACCACAACCCAGAAAGGGCACACCUGGUGAACCUAUGAAUAUUCUACUGAAGCCCUUCCCUGAGAAAUUCCCUAAGAUUCCCACCUGCAAGAAAGAGGUAAAAGCCUCAAAACGAAGGACCCAGUGCUUGCGCUUUCCCUCUGGGGAGCAGCUCACCCCAUUCCCUUUCCCUUCUCCUUCCCCAACUUCCUUCCCCACAGACACUUGUCUCCUAAACUCAGGCAAUGAGCAGCGGGCAGCUUGUCCCAAGCUAAUCCUCUGAACCUGUCCCCAAAACCUCCUUUCCUAUGACUUCCCAGUGCGCUAAGGCAGCCCAGCCAGGGCCUCCUGUUGCUUCUUCUGUGCUAAGCCCUUCCUUGUUUCACUGCCACAGCUUUAAUAAAUGUAUCCUCAU